rfam:Populus trichocarpa isolate Nisqually-1 chromosome 8, whole genome shotgun sequence.
UCUAGAACUCGAGAUAGGGGUUGAACACCGAACAAAGUCUGGGAUGCAGAACAAAUUCAGACUUCUCUUCUGUUGCUAAAAUUUGAACUAAAAAACGAAAGUAUUAAGUCUUAGGCUCUCGUGAAUGUUUUAGGUCUAUGUCUUAGGGUUUGACC